GACUCCGUAGCAUAUGGUAUGUGUCCGCUGCCUUGAUUAGUUGAUUAAGCUUGAUUAAUGAUUGCUUGAGGAGGUUCGAUUCAGCAGAAGAGCCUGGUUCGAAUCCGGGCGGGGUCU